rnacentral:rRNA from 1 species
UUAAAUUGAAGAGUUUGAUCAUGGCUCAGAUUGAACGCUGGCGGCAGGCCUAACACAUGCAAGUCGAACGGUAACAGGAAUCAGCUUGCUGAUUUGCUGACGAGUGGCGGACGGGUGAGUAAUGUCUGGGAAACUGCCUGAUGGAGGGGGAUAACUACUGGAAACGGUAGCUAAUACCGCAUAACGUCGCAAGACCAAAGAGGGGGACCUUCGGGCCU